AUGUGUGUGUGUGUGUGUGUGUGUGCAUGUGUGACUUAAGAUAUUUAUGUAUAUUAAUGUUUUGCCUGUAUUUCUGUCUGUGUGCCACAUGUAUGUCUGUUGCCCACAGAGUCUAGAAAAGAGCACUGGGUCUCCUAGAACUGGAGUCACAGAAGGUUGUGAGCCACCAUGUCGAGUUUGAAACUAGGUGCUAUAGAGCAGCCAGUGCUCUUAACCACUGAGCCAGCUCCCAACUGUAUGUUGAAUUUGUUGACCUUUAUCGUGCACCGAAUGUAAAUAUAAUGGAACUCUCCUGACACUUAAGUUGAGGGAAAG
rnacentral:lncRNA from 1 species